GGUGGCCCUUCGUGUGGCGUUUAUCCUGCGAAUCCCCCAGGACCGGAAGGUAGCAAGGGUAAGGAGGCUCUGGCGGGUGCACGAAGGGUCCUUUCA
rnacentral:SRP_RNA from 1 species